rnacentral:lncRNA from 1 species
ACUAGUCCGAAUUGGUAGUCGAAACACUCAAAAUGGUCGAAACAAAUGUCAAAGUACGAAACUGUCGAACAAAUAGAAUAAAAAGGUAUAAUGUUCACUCGAAACUCAAAAAGACAACUGCAAAAACAAACACAUACUGUAAAAAAAAGUGCAAACUUGAAACACUCGUAAAAAAGAAAAACGGCAACCCGACCCGAGCGACUCAAACUUUCUUUCCCAGCUUUGACGACGAUGACUCAUCAAAGAACAAGAGUUAAAAGAGUUUUGAUCAAAUAAAUGAUAUGGAAAGAUGAUUUUAUGUUUCUUGAGCUGUAUGAAACAAAGGCCUCCAAUGCUUCCAAGUCCCUCGGUUCCGCUGAUUCGACCAAAACCGAACCGAUUGGCUGUGGAAAUGCGCCGGAAAACAUCAAUCAGCUAAACCGACAUCUUCGGACGGCAGUGUUGGCGACCGAGAUGCCUCGACGACCACACUUAGAUAGGUCUAGUCAACAUAUCGCUUAAUUUUUUGUCAAAAAUCGCUUAAAAUCUUCUUUUUCCUUGGUUGUUAAUUUGUUUUUAUUCUUUAAAAAAAAAAUUGCUUAAAGUUUAUUUCAUUUAUUUGAAAAUUACACAUAAUUGACAAUUUCAGAAAAGCAUAGAUUAACAUUUUAAUAUUUACCAUCCUUGACCUGUUUUUCUAAUUCCUUUUUUGUAAAUAAUGGCCUUGAGUCAUUUGUUGCAUCAAUGUUUGGAAAAAUAUUGCAAGUAGUAGUUUAAAUUUCUUUCUUAGAAAAGUAGAAGUAGUAGUAGUACUAUUUG